ensembl:lncRNA
GCCCCGCUUCUCGCGGGAGAUCUCGCGAGAUCUCGCCGUGCCACGUUCCCGGGCUUUUGGAGGACCACACCCCCCCCUCCCAUGGGGCUCCCCCUCCUCAUCCUCACUUUGGGGGUGCUGCUGGGGCUGGGGGAGGGGCACCGGGACCCCCCCCCAAUUUCGGGGCACCCCCACCCCCACCUCUAUGGACCCCCCAAAACCAAAACCCGCCCGGACACCGCCCAGGUGUGGCUGCAGACGAUGGGGGCAGCCCUGGGGGUGUCGCUGGCCCCACACCUGGUGCUGCUCCUGGUCCCCGCGGAUUCGGGGUCCCCCCGAACCCCCAAAUCCCCCCUGGGACCCCCAAAUCCCCUCUGGGACCCCCAAAUCCCCCCUGGGACCCCCAAAUCCCCUCUGGGACCCCCAAAUCCCCCCUGGGACCCCCAAAUCCCCUCUGGGACCCCCAAAUCCCCCCUGGGAUCCCCCAAAUCCUGUCUGGGACCCCCAAAUCUGCUUUUAACCCCCCAAAAUCCCCAUGUUAACCCCUUAAACCCCAUUUUACCCCCCCAAAUCCCCAUUUUAACCCCCCAAAUCUUCGUUUUUUCUCCCAAAAUCCCCGUUUUUUUUCCCCAAAUCCCCGUUUUUUCACCCAAAAUCCCUCUGGGACCCCCCAAAUCCCCUUUGAGCCCCCCAAAAUCCCCAUUUUAACCCCUUAAACCCCAUUUUAACCCCCUGAACCCCCAUUUUUUCACCCCAAAUCCCCAUUUUUUUCCCCAAAAUCCCCAUUUUAACCCCCCAAAUCCCAUUUUACCCCCCCAAAUCCCCAUUUUAACCCCUUAAAUGCCAUUUUAACCCCCCAAAUCCCCAUUUUAACCCCUUAAACCCCAUUUUAACCCCCCAAAUCCCCAUUUUAACCCCCCAAAUCUUCGUUUUUUCUCCCCAAAUCCCCAUUUUUUCACCCCAAAUCCCCAUUUUUUCACCCCAAAUCCCCAUUUUUUCACCCCCAAACCCCCAUUUUUUCACCCCAAACCCCCAUUUUAACCCCUUAAACCCCAUUUUAACCCCCCAAAUCCCCAUUUUUUCCCCAAAUCCCCAUUUUUUUCCCCAAACCCCCAUUUUUUCCCCAAAUCCCCGUUUUUUCUCCCCAAAUCCCCAUUUUUUCCCCCAAAUACCCAUUUUUUUCCCCAAAUCCCCUUUUUCUCUCCCCAAAUCCCCAUUUUUUCUCCCAAAAUUCCCAUUUUUUCCCCCCAAAUUCCCAUUUUUUCACCCCCAAACCCCCAUUUUAACCCCCCAAAUCCCCAUUUUUUUCCCCAAAUACCCAUUUUUUCCCCAAACCCCCAUUUUUUUCCCAAAAUCCCCGUUUUUUCACCCCCAAAUCCCCAUUUUUUCCCCAAACCCCCAUUUUUUUCCCCAAAUCCCCAUUUUAACCCCCUAAAUCCCCAUUUUUUUCCCCAAAUCCCCAUUUUUUCCCCCAAAUCCCCAUUUUUUCCCCAAAUCCCCAUUUUUCACCCCAAAUCCCCAUUUUUCACCCCAAAUCCCCAUUUUUAAACCCCCAAAUCCCCAUUUUUUCACCCCAAAUCCCCAUUUUUUUCCCCAAACCCCCAUUUUUUCACCCCAAAUCCCCAUUUUUUCACCCCAAAUUCCCAUUUUUUCACCCCAAAUCCCCAUUUUUUUCCCCAAACCCCCAUUUUUUCGCCCCAAAUCCCCAUUUUUUUCCCCAAAUCCCCAUUUUUCACCCCAAAUCCCCAUUUUAACCCCUUAAACCCCAUUUUAACCCCCCAGAUCUUCGUUUUUUCUCCCAAAAUCCCCGUUUUUUUUUCCCCAAAUCCCGAUUUUAACCCCUUAAACCCCAUUUUAACCCCUUAAACCCCAUUUUAACCCCUUAAACCCCAUUUUAACCCCCCAAAUCCCCAUUUUAACCCCUUAAAUGCCAUUUUAACCCCCCAAAUCUUCGUUUUUUUCCCCAAAUCCCCGUUUUUUCACCCCCAAAUCCCCAUUUUUUUCCCCAAAUCCCCGUUUUCUCACCCCAAAUCUCCUUUUUGUACCCCCAAAACCGCCCUGGGAUCCCCCAAACCCCCAUUUUAACCCCUUAAACCCCAUUUUAACCCCCAAAAAUCCCCAUUUUAACCCCUUAAACCCCAUUUUAACCCCCCAAAAUCCCCAUUUUACCCCCUUAAAUCCCCAUUUUAACCCCCCAGAUCUUCGUUUUUUCUCCCAAAAUCCCCGUUUUUUCCCCCAAAAUUCCCAUUUUUCCCCCCAGACGAUGGGGGCAGCCCUGGGGGUGUCUCUGGCCCCACACCUGGUGCUGCUCCUGGUCCCCGCGGAUUCGGGGUCCCCCCGAACCCCCAAAUCCCCCCUGGGACCCCCCAAAUCCCCUCUGGGACCCCCAAAUCCUGUCUGGGACCCCCAAAUCCUGUCUGGGACCCCCAAAUCCCCUCUGGGACCCCCAAAUCCCCCCUGGGACCCCCAAAUCCCCUCUGGGACCCCCAAAAUCCCCUCUGGGACCCCCAAAUCCCCUCUGGGACCCCCAAAUCCUGUCUGGGACCCCCAAAUCCCCCCUGGGACCCCCAAAUCCUG